GAUGAACGCUGGCGGCGUGCCUAAUACAUGCAAGUCGAGCGAACGGACGAGAAGCUUGCUUCUCUGAUGUUAGCGGCGGACGGGUGAGUAACACGUGGAUAACCUACCUAUAAGACUGGGAUAACUUCGGGAAACCGGAGCUAAUACCGGAUAAUAUUUUGAACCGCAUGGUUCAAAAGUGAAAGACGGUCUUGCUGUCACUUAUAGAUGGAUCCGCGCUGCAUUAGCUAGUUGGUAAGGUAACGGCUUACCAAGGCAACGAUGCAUAGCCGACCUGAGAGGGUGAUCGGCCACACUGGAACAGAGACACGGUCCAGACUCCUACGGGAGGCAGCAGUAGGGAAUCGUACGCAAUGGGCGAAAGCCUGACGGAGCAACGCCGCGUGAGUGAUGAAGGUCUUCGGAUCGUAAAACUCUGUUAUUAGGGAAGAACAUAUGUGUAAGUAACUGUGCACAUCUUGACGGUACCUAAUCAGAAAGCCACGGCUAACUACGUG
rnacentral:rRNA from 1 species